AAACUAACANGGAUUCCCCUAGUAACGGCGAGUGAAGAGGGAAGAGCCCAAGAUUGAAAGCUGGCGUCUUCGGCGUCCGCAUUGUAAUCUCAAGAAGUGUUUUCCGCUUCGGACCAUGCCUAAGUCCCUUGGAAAAGGGCAUCAUAGAGGGUGAUAAUCCCGUACAUGGCAUGGAGCGCCCGAAGCUUUGUGAUACGCUUUCUAAGAGUCGAGUUGUUUGGGAAUGCAGCUCAAAAUGGGUGGUAAAUGCCAUCUAAGGCUAAAUAUUGGGGAGAGACCGAUAGCGAACAAGUACAGUGAUGGAAAGAUGAAAAGAACUUUGAAAAGAGAGUUAAACAGUACGUGAAAUUGCCAAAAGGGAAGGGUAGGAGGUCAGAGAUGCGGCCUGGGAUUCAGCCUUGCUUUUGCUUGGUGUUUUUCCUAGAUUGCAGGCCAACGUCGGUUUUGGGCACUGGAGAAGGGUAGGAGGAACGUGGCACCUCUCGGGGUGUGUUAUAGCCUCCUACUGGAUACAGCGACCGAGACCGAGGACAGCAGCGUACUCGCAAGAGCGGGCCUUCGGGCACCUUUACGCUUAGGGCGUUGGCAUAAUGGCCCUCUACCAC
rnacentral:rRNA from 1 species